rnacentral:rRNA from 1 species
UGGGGAAUUUUGGACAAUGGGGGCAACCCUGAUCCAGCAAUGCCGCGUGUGUGAAGAAGGCCUUCGGGUUGUAAAGCACUUUUGUCCGGGAAGAAAUCGCACCUGAUAAUACCGGGUGUGGAUGACGGUACCGGAAGAAUAAGGACCGGCUAACUACGUGCCAGCAGCCGCGGUAAUACGUAGGGUCCAAGCGUUAAUCGGAAUUACUGGGCGUAAAGCGUGCGCAGGCGGUUGUGCAAGACCGAUGUGAAAUCCCCGGGCUUAACCUGGGAAUUGAAUUGGUGACUGCACGGCUAGAGUGUGUCAGAGGAGGGUAGAAUUCCACGUGUAGCAGUGAAAUGCGUAGAGAUGUGGAGGAAUACCGAUGGCGAAGGCAGCCCCCUGGGAUAACACUGACGCUCAUGCACGAAAGCGUGGGGAGCAAACAGG